rnacentral:misc_RNA from 1 species
CAUCUGAAGCGCUCUUUUUUCUCCUUGUUUUCUUGUCGGGUUGCCAUCGAUCGUUGACAGGGUACCGAUUUCCGGAGCACACGCACUACACCCGUGCAUCUGUAUGUUCUUCUCGCUGUUUUUCCUUUCUUGUUUUACUCGGUUUUCUCUUCGUUUCCUUACACCAUUGCCACUCCGUUCGUUUCAAGACAGGAAGGAAAUCUUGCGGGGGCACACGCGCAGGCACAGGCCUCGGGAUCGCCUUCAACCGGACACAGAGACAUCGAAAGCCCCGACCCCCGCCGCCAACCUACCAAACAACCAAACAACCACCUCAACAGGGAGUGGCAGAAGAAAAACACAACAGGCACAUUUUUCUUCAUUGGCCGCUUCCGCGCUGAGCUCUCUUCUGUUAUUACCGUGCCCUUCGGCUGAGCUGCUGCAACGGCGUGGACCGCGUCUACGAGUCUCACUUUCGGCAUCGCGUUGUUGCUCACUGGACACCCCCGCAUCAUCGUCUCUUCAGAACGUCGCCUUUCCUGGGUUUUCCUGUUCUUCCUCUGAUCGGUUUAAGCGUCUGUGUUCUCUCUUGUUUUCUUCUUUGCCUUUUUUUUCUCGUGCACGUGUGUGCUCCACCGGCAUUGACGUGAACGGACGAACGGUGCCGUUCAGUGCUGUAAUACCUUUUCGUUUCUCUGUGCCGCGCUCAGCUGAGGGCACACCGUGGCCCUCCACGGGCACCGACAGAGACAAAACUUCGCUUGCUCUCUCCGCCCUUCUGCACGCGUGGUGCAACUCUACAGUAAAGAGAGAAGACACGCCUACGUCAGAUAGCGAGAGACGACCUGGAAAAGGAAAAGAACGGCAGAGCUGAUAAAACCGCUGAGGCCCCCGCUUAACCGUCUAUAAAACACCGUAUCCGACCUAACGGAGAAGUACACGUCUACAUACAGACAGACAGACGUCGUGGCUGUUCGCUUCUUAUUUUAUGUCGUUUUCUCCAUCUUGUUUUCUGUUUAGCUCUCAUCAAGUCGAAACAGCGUGCAUUCGCCAACACGUGCAUCCCCCUCUCCCUCGCGCGGGCUGUCGGCAGAGUUUUCUUUUCUGCUGGGUUGUUGUUUCCGUUCUUUCGCCUCUGUUGAUUUCUUCGAGUUCCACGCACGGUGUCGCUUUCGCGUUUUCUAUCUUUCUCGUCGUCCCUUUCUGCUCUGUGUAUCACGAAAAGGGCGAGGGAAAGCAAGGCAACCCCUGGACGGCGUUCUCUCCUUUCCUCUCAUCUUUUUCCCACGUACCGUCUCCCUCUCCUCCGCUCUUGCACCAGCCUUCUUCAACCCUAACGGUGCGCACCUGCUGCACCCUCUCACACCUCGAGGCACGGACAGAGGGAUAGCAGAAACGGCUGUGCUACUACUAUUCUUCGUUAAGGUUUAAGCCGACGCAGAGAGAGGGAGAGCGACAGCAAGGACAGGUGACGUGGGGGGGGGAGCAGCCGAUACGAAGAGAAGGAACGAACACGGCUGCAAGGGGAAGGCUUAUCACUGGUACGUGUGCGUUUUCGUUUUUUCUUUUCUCUAAAGCGCCUCUCCCAUUUCUCGUUUCCGUCUGUCUCUCUCUCUCCUCCCCCCUUGUUCGUGCUGCCGUUAUCCUCGGCGAAAGCGAGGGAAGGAACGACGAAAAAAAAGAAAAUAAGGCCGAGCACUCACUCGUCACGCCUUCGCCACUCAAGGCGUGACGAUACAUACAACACAAUACACACACAAGGUGCUGCAACGCGCGCAGAAAGGGGAGAAAAAAACGGAAGAAGGACGCACCCCGAUACAGAACGAUUUACGAGGAGGGAGAGAAAGAGUGGGACGACUUCUGCGCAGCACUCGCGACACCACAAGACGUUUGCGAUCGGGAAAGUUUAUCUUGAUCAGCGACGGAUUGUUUUCGUGUCUUGCGACGAGUCCGCAGCGGGGAAAACGCACACGCACCCACCUGCCCCCCCCCCCCCCCCCCCACACACACACACAUACACAUACACGACAAGGAACAAGACAUCCCCCUCCUAGCUGCAUGACAUCUCUUUCUCUCUCGUAGGGUCUCUCCUCCGUGUACCGGUGUGUUUCUCUCUUCUUUGCGCCCGUUUCCGUGUUCUUCAUUUUUCGUUAUCUGCCGCUUGCGCGCUGUGAUUUCUCGCCUGUCUUUGUUCUUUUUUGAAGGGGGCGCUCUCUCACUUCACCUGCGUUUGUGUUUUUUCGCUCGUGUGUGUGUGUGUGUGUGUGUGUGUGCCAAUCGACUCUCCGUGUCGGCUCUCCCCCCUUUGAGCACGCCGGAGCUUUCUCUCUGCACGCCUCCUCAAUCCCUCUCCUUGCUGGUGUUGCUUCUCUGUCAACGUUCGUGUAGGUCAACCUCGCUCUUUCGAAGCCCAGAAGCAUAUCGUUCCGGUACAAGGUGCCGCUUACAAGGCUAUCCUGCUCGCUACGCAGCUGCCAGCAGCCGGCCGUUGCCGUGUGCCUCGGGGUUAGGCGUAAGAAAAGCAACUGAGAAAGCUUCAUUAAUAUCAUCGCAUUUUUCUUUUUUUUUUUCACAGACGUGUACUCUCGUGACAGAGCAACGAAGGCUCUUCCGUGAGGGUGUGACGGUGGCGGGACCUGCAGCUCCGGCCGACGGCGACAACAGUGAAGCAAGUCGACGUAGAAGCAGCCGCGCAAUUUGGUUCACCACCUCCUCUUUCUGUCUCUCUUGCUUUGCUCUGUGUUCUUCCUCUUUUGUGUCGGUGUAGAUGCUCUGUCGCGUGAUCUGAUUUCGGUGUUCUUGGCUACUGCUCCACUGUUCUGUUUCUGCCGCUUUUAUUUAUGUAUUACUCGCCCCUCUCUUCUCUCUACGUUUUUCUGUCAAGUGCGUUUCUAUCUUCUUUCGCCGUCGUUUCCAGAUUGUCUUUGUGUACACUGGGGUAUGCGCGAGCGUGCACGAACACACGGCGACACACGAAAGGACAAAAAAAAACAUAAAGUAGCGCAGUGCUGAUACUGGGGACCGUUUCCGUUCUGCUUUCGGUACACUGCCUCACUUCUGCCGUGCUGUGCUUUCCGUAUUUGUGGUUGCGCCACGUCUUUGUCUGCCUCUUGCUCGCAUCGGAUCGGUGUUUCUUUUCUUUGCGUUCCUUUCGUUUCGUUACUUUCCACCUGCCGCUAAUACAGUCUGUGCUCCCCCUCCCUCCCACCCUCCCACACACACCCUCACCAAAAAAAUUAAGACGAAAAAGAAUAAGCUCCCGUGUUUCCUGUUAUACAUCAGUGUUGCGGUAAGGCGGAGCCCAACUUGCGAUCUCGAUCGCUUCUUUUUUCUUUUUUACCAGCGCCGUCACUCAAUCCUCUUUACAUCAUUGACAAGAGGACGUACAUGCCUGCGAGAAAGAGGGGCAGAGAAAGACACGCCUGAUAGAACAGAACCCCCUCCCCAACGAAAAACGGUGGAGAGCUGCUGUAGUUGUCACGAUUGGCGCAGAGGAAAGAUCCGCUACGCUUGUCUGCAUCAGCGACAGGGCGCGUGCGCGGUCAAGACUUGAGGAGCGACGGGGGGAGAGAGAGCUGGAGCUGUGAAAACGAAAAGCCUUGGAAGAGGUGCGCACGCCCCUUCACACGAGGCUCUUUGUUCUCGGCGCUCCACGUCUCCGAUUCUUCCAACCCGAACUCUCCAUCUUCUUCUAUCUUGGCCUUCCCUCGAGUGUUUGCGUCCUCUCCUCAAGGGACCGGCCACGCCUAGUUCACACACACAAAUACACACACAUAUAUAAGGUGUAUUCGCAUCCGUUGCCGUUUGCAUCGUCCUUUACGCCGCGGAGGAUUUUCUUUUUUUGCUUUUUUUUUCUCGCUGCGUGUCGGUUGUGCCUUGGCAGAGUCUCUGCGCGUGGUGGUAGGUAGCACCGACUCCGCUGCGAUUCUUCUUAUUUGGCGUUUCGUCUCGAGGGUAUUUUCUUGCAACGCCCUCCGUACCAAAUCACUUCGCAGCGCUUCUCGGUGGCACACAUAUCGGCCUGUGAGUGCUUUCUGACUUCUUUCCCUAUUCUCGUCCCGUUCUCACCGCCCUGUUCCUGUGCCACCAUAAGCAGGCUCUGCACAGCGGCGCGAGACGAUAGAGUUACAUGUCGUUUCUACAAAAAAAGAAGAUUCAACCGAUCUGUGAGCACGUCCCCCCCCUGCCUUCAGUGUCGUUGUACGUUCUGCCGCCGAAGACCGCGCCCACGACUGUGAUUUACGUCUUCACCUCUCUCCACGUGUGCGCUGCUGCCUCUUCGGGCCAGUACUUCUUUAUUUCGUCGGUUUUACUCGGUUUACUGCCCUUAUAACCAACCCACGGCGUUGCCAUUGGCCGCAACGAUUGUCUUGCCGUGCGUGCGUGUGUACGCGUGCCUCCUGAGUUUUUUUUUUCGCGCUCGCGUUUGUGUGUGUGUGUGUUUCCAUUUUUCUGACGCUUCUGUUUGGGACCCCACCUCCUUUUUUGGUUUUACUUGUUGUUUUUGCUUCGAAGCUGCAAACGCCUUUAGUGAUUUUCCACUUCUUCUUCUGUCCUUCUCAAGCCGCGCCUCGCUCUGCUUCUCCUGUGCCGCGGGACUUGUUUGUUCCCUCCUUUCCUCUUAUUUUUCUUGUGUGCGCGUGCACGCGCGUGUAUAUCAGCUCCGUCGCACGCCGCUCCGACCCUUCGCUUUCCCUCACUUCCUUCCUCUUUCUUUCUUCCCUGUUUUGCUCAUUACUUUACGGAGGCGUCGGCUCAAGUUGCAUCUGCGAGGAUCGCACCCGAAGCGGCAAGCGGUUCUCUGCCCGUGUGUGUCUUUCUUUUCUCUUCUGGAGCGCAUUGAACGGAGAGACUUCGUUUUCGUCCUUGUCCUGUCUGUCGGACUGCCGUCCGUGGGUAGGCCGAGCAGCUCUCUUCCUGUAUCUCUCCUGCUCUUCACCUUUGCCAGCAAAACGCCCUGCCUCCACCACCGCUCAAGCCCCGAUCUUCGAACACGACCGUAAGGAAUGGGAGCUCUUCCGAGCCACGAGACACACGAGCGUGGCCUCUACAGCCACCGCCACGGACGCAAUCGGCGGAAUGAGAUCAUCCUCAUCCCCUUGACGACAUCUUUCUUCCCCAGCCCCGACUGCCCUCUAUUCCAGCAUCUGUACAACUCGCGGUACCGACGCACCGCCAAGUACUACUUUCGUGCCCUGCGCAGUGCCCAGACGCCCCGCGACAGCGACUAUUUCUGCACCACGACGGCCAUCAACGAGGAGGAGGAGUUUGAAAAGUUCUACAAGGAGUAUCUGGAGAAGCGCGAACUCUGCGGAGAAAAGGCGAGUGUGGCGGCAGCGACAGCGACCGCGGUGUCGCCCACAGCCUCCUCCCCGCUCUUGUCUGGCUGCUCAGCCACCGGCGACAGCGGCGCCGACGCGGGAAGCACAAAUGGGCUGUCAGGCGCCAUUCCGUCGGCCCAGUCGCCUCAGGAUUGCCUGAAUGCGCAGGGUCUUCCGCCCAGGGUGGGCCCGAUGGACUUCCGCAGCUACUCCGACACCCGCGAAGGACUGUACCAGAUCCUCAUUCGCGAUAACGAGCCGGGCGUCUUUGCAACUGAUGAGGAGCUGCGGCAGGCAUACUGGAAGCAGCUGCAGGAGCAGCAGACGGGGCGUCAGCGUGCGUAUCAGCAGCAGCAGCAGGGAAGGCACUCCGCUAGCCAAGCGGCAACAGGCGGCGCGGGCGCAGCCGGCUCGAUGCCGCCUCCGCCUCCGCUCCCGCCCCCGCUCUCUCUAUCGCCGUCGGCGCCGCUGUCUCCUUCUGCUGGCAUGAACGACGCGCACGCGCUUCAUGGAGGACUCAAUGCCUCUGGCGUGCCCUCCGCGGCGAGCGCUGCGAUGGACGACUUGUCGUUUGACGAGUUCGUCUCUGGCUACGUGGCGGCGAAGCGCUACAUGAAGGGAAAGCCGUUGCAUACCAGCUUUAGCACAACGGCAGCCGCCGACGUGAAGGGAAAUCCGAUCACACCGGCGAUGGGUGCGGCUGGCAGUGCCAAGGUGCUAAACGAGUACUCGGCGAGACACUACAAGCACGUCACGUCGCCGGUGGCAUAUGACGUGCGCCCACUUCCUUGCGUGAUUGCUUCACGCUACGACCCCGGGAAGCCGCAGCCCGUUAACGACCCGCUCUACGUGCAGUUUGGCGACUCCUACGUGAGAAUUAUGGGCAUGUUCGGCUUCUUCCCCUCUACCAUCGGGAUGCGCCGGGCGGCGGGAAGCCGUGGCUCCGAGGACGGCACUGGCUCCGGCAAACCGCAGCGCAGCUUUCCGCGCAAGGAGGGCAAUUGCAACGGCAGCGACGACAUUGACGAAGAGUUUGAGAUUGAGCAACACCUACUGAAGGGGACAAUGUUCGUGGACAAGGACGUCGGCGAUCAAAUUCUCGGUAAUAUGGUGAUGCUAGCUACAUACAUGUACGUGCGCCAGUGCAUCGAGGCGCGCAUCCACCCCCAGGCGAUUCCGAUGCUCCCGGUGCUGAUACGCUUCCCGCUGUCGAAUAUUCCCAUGCUGCAGUUUGUGCGCGAGUUCCGCGUUCGCCUGCGCAGCCUGCUGGAGGCGGGGACGGCAAAGGCGGGUCAGAAGCCGGUGCACACUGGCAUGAGCGGCUUCAAUCCCGAGGACCUUGCCGAGCCUCACCACCCGCAGCUGCAGCGCCUGGAGGAAGAGGGCUACCUCUUCGAACCUGACAUCCCGUGUGCGACAACGCCGCAGCAAGUGUUCAUGUCUGUUGAGCAGGCGAGCAGCACCACUGCGCCGCUGCGGCGCCACGUUGGAAUGAAAACACCCAGCUGCGGCAAGUAUCCGAUUAUCAUGAUGUCCGGCUUCAAUGUGCAGUCCACGCCACUGCGGCACCCGGCCUUGAACACGACGGGGUACCCGCCUGCUAUGGCCGCCGCCGCCAUGAUUGCCGCCGCGCACCGCCACUCCGCCAUGUCCAGCCCGCAGUCGAGCUCGAAAUCAGCGUCUCCGUACGCCGCGUCUGGCAUGGGCCGUGCCCCAACCUUUCCUUUGACAGCGCCGCCGCCACCGUUGCCUGGGCAGGUGGGGUCUGCGUCGGCGUCAAACAGCACCACCUUGCCGCCACCGCCGCCCCCUCCGCCGCCGCCGCCGCCGCCCCCUCCGCCGGCGCCUGGAGCACCAGCUUCGGCAUCCGCUACUACGACCCCUGCACAUGAGGCGCGCAAGAGUGCCUUGCUGCACCGACGCAAGCAGCGCUUCCGCAUCUGGGUCGAGGAUGGCCACAUCUGCAUCUGGGCGAGCGCGGCCUACGCCCGUCGCGCGGCGCUCAUCAUGGCGCAGCAGCUCAACACCACGGUGGACAGCAACUCGGUGCCAGAGCAGCGGUCGUGGAACUACCGAGGACUGCUGCACGCGAACACGACGGUGCCACCACCGCGACACGUGAACGACGUCAUCAUUGUGGCUGAAGACAUCCCUACCAUGGACUUGUGGCAGGGGGAUGUGCUGCGGUGCUGCACGCAGGCGGAACUCCAGGCGAUGCUCAAGUCCAAGGGGGCGGGUCCGCUGCCGCUGCCGUGUGCCCGUGAGGAGACCGAAAGCAAGAGCGGCGCCAUCACCGGCACAACGGAGCGGCAAGCCGCCUCUCUAUCCAUCGCCGCCGCCGCCAAGCCUGCUGCCAUGGAGUCGAUCGGCGGCUUCACGAGCCCGUCUGUCAGCUCCAGCACGGCGGAUAGCGGCGUCGCUGCCGCUGGCGCGGGCGGACACGUCAACUUCACCAGCAAUCACGUGAGCAAUCCGCUCUUGCAGGAGAAGGAGAUGGCCCCGCCGGAGGCUUUCUGGGUGCGUGGCUCCGGUGGCCUGGAUGACUCUUUCACGAACAUUACGGAGACGAACAUGCCGCCCCACCCAAAGGCCGAGAAGCAGCUGAUGCAGGCCGCCAUGCAGCGGGCAAAGAAGGCCGCUGCCGCCGUGGCAGUCGCGCAGAACAGCGGCAAAAAGCGGCGCCCCACGAACGCCGAGGCGGCCGUGUCAGCUGCUGCGCAGCUGUUCAUCGACAUCGACCGUCGCGAGGGGACCAUGAACAUCGAGGAGGUGGUGCUGGCCUGGAUCAAGGUGGUUGCCAUUCUCACCCGCGACUCCACCGAGGAGGACCGCGCGUGGGUGCGCGACCCGCAAGGCAACCCGGUCCGCGUAGAUCGGUACGUCAUCCGCCGCUACGAGCAUGACGGGGUGCGCUUCUUCAUUGGUGUCACGCCGCGCUUCGUGGGCCAGCAGCGGCGCAUCGAAAAGGUGCUGGGCGAGGUGUUCGCACUGGAGGAGCGCGAGGGUCAUCGCUGGCGCCUGAAGAACCAGGGCCGCGGCGAGGAAGACGAGGAGUGCGAAGAUGGACUCCAUACCAGCCAUGAUGAUGACCCCUCAAACGAAGAGGAGGGGCAUCAUCGUCACUCGUCCGUGUCGCAUGUCUCCCGGCACACGGAAUCGCUUUCGUACGCCUUUGGCGCCUCCGCCGCCUCGUCUGUCAAGGCUCCAGACAGCUGUGCCGGCGGUAUGAGCAGCAUGUUCGACGAUGUCUGGGGCACCCUGGUGAUCCCGAUGACCCACUCCCCACCGUCGAGCACCGCGUGCACACCGGUUGCACCGUUGACCGUUGGGCCCAAGAUGCAGUCUUCUUUGGCGGCGUCGUUGAAUGCAGCCCUCCCGCGAAGCGAUUCAGGGGAGUCUGUCGAGAACAGCUCCCGCCUGGCCUUUACGGCAGUCUUUGGAAAUGCCGCGCCCGCAGCCGGCAAGUCCGCAGCCACGACGUCGCUAAGGACAAGAGAUGCGGAGCUAAUGGGCGCCGGCUUUGAGGUGGACGAUCUGCUGGAGCGGUACGCGUCCGCGCCCCUCUUCUUCGGCGGCGAAGACGACGAGUGAUUCACUGGUGUGAGUGCAGGUGCUGAAAGCGUAUCGUGCUGCAUCGUCAUGCCCCUCCCUUGCUGCUUUAAGUGAGCACUAUAGGCCAUCUGUGUCCUUCCCUUGCUUGUUUGUUCUUCGCUGUGGCAGACGUGAAUAUGUGCACAGACUGCUUCCAGUGAACAGCCAAGAUGGGAUCGAAGAUGCUGUGGCUCUGGUGGCAACAUACCGAGUAGCUGCGCUGAGUGUUCUCACCCACGUCAGUAGACCUCUUUGCGUCUGUGGCUGUUGUUGCCUCAUCGAAGGGUAAGAGUUCGGACUCCUCGCAUUCGCCUCUCCUCCUGACGGCAUCGAAAGCAGUGUCGCCGUAGGCCGUCUCUCUAGUGUGCUUAGGUGUCUGUGUGACGCCCAGAGGCGCGCGCAUGUGUCUCAUUUCGUUUUUUUUUUUGUGCUGCAGAUUCACGUACCUCAUGAUGGAGGGAGGCACAUACCUCAGUGAGCGGCAUCUCCAGGUCCAGUACACCCAUCUCCCCCCGCUUUUUGUGUGUAGGGAGCCAAGCAUCUCCUCCCUAUCGCUCUGCCAAUACCGAGCCGCUUCUGGUGGUGACAGGGUCAAGGCGCACACGGCUUGGGGAAGUCAGGGCGAUGCAUUGCUACAUAUGCCAGCGGUCAGGUCCUGGCUGGCGUUGCGGGGGAGAGACCUGCGACAGUGCACACGCACGCACCAUCCAUGUGAGGGGGAGAGUGUCAGCCUGACUCGAACGCAUCCCAUCCCCAGCCCUGACAUCGCCCACUGGUGCAGGGGAGCCUGAGCCGCCACCGAGAGGCGCACCAGGUCGCGACCUGCUUGAUGGGGGCUGUUGCGAGGCGGGUGGGUAGAGGGUGUGGCGAAGGCUGUGCUCCCAUCGCCGAGCCGGUAUAGCUGUAGAACGUGUCUACUGCUGCUUCGCAUCAUCUGAUUAGGCCUGUGGCAGAGGCGGGAGGUUAGAGUGGCAUUUUACUCAUGCUCUAAGGCAGAAUGGACAAAGCAAGUGGACGAGGCGAAGGUGUAGGUACCAGGGUGGUGAGGCGCACGAGCUGCUGUGCGCGAGAUCGAUGGACGUGCGAGCCAUUCGCAUCGAAGGGAGCGGCAGGCAUCCGUCACGGAUUUCGCUCUGCUCUCCGCAUGCCUAUCUUCCAUGAAAGCGUUUUUCGUUUUAUGUCGUUCUUAUUAUGUUUAUGUGCGUUGCUGCGUGUGCGUCUCUGUGCUCUCGUUUCUUUUUUUUUCCCUGUUCGCACCGGCGGUGGAAG